UCAAGCUGCUGCUGAAGUUGAGCUUUCUGAAGGAUUGGUUCUGAUCUGGUUUUGAGCGUUAGAGUUGGGGGAGAACGGAGAGAAGAUAUUUGUUUGCUUGAUUCCACAUGACAACUCCAGGGUAACUGAAUAGACUGUACGGUUGGUUUGAUAAGGCUAUGCAGUGAGCCAGCAGCCUCACAUACCAGAGACGGGGGGCUGGAAGGGGGACUGACAACUGUAAUGGAUUUUUAUCAGAAUUUCUCUAAAGACCGACAGUUUGCCUUCACUUACUAAUGUUUUUCAGAGGUUUCCCUUCUGAGAGCUGCUUUCAUCCAAGGCAUCCAAAGCACUUCAUACAAUCCAGUGCAUUAAGCAUGGCAACAUGACUGUGAGGUAAUGUUUGGAUACAUGUGAAUUAGAUACGUAUAUAUGAAGAACUUCCUAACAACCCCUGAUGUGCUCCAGUUGGACAGACUGAAGCAGGCGUGAGGUGUUUGUACCUGGUUGAAUUUGGUUUAAUGUGGCUCUGCACAGGUCAUGGCCAAGGAGGUCUUGAAAUAUGCCAAAGACUUAUUCUUCCUACUGAACUGAUCACUAGUCAGCAAGAAUAUUUUCA